GGCAAUUCUUGGAUGACACAGCCCAGAAUUGGGCUCCCUCCUCUCUGGUUCCGGGUGCAUCCCCCAAGAACUGCA
rfam:Myotis lucifugus cont2.38190, whole genome shotgun sequence.